rnacentral:rRNA from 1 species
AGAGUUUGAUCAUGGCUCAGAUUGAACGCUGGCGGAAUGCUUUACACAUGCAAGUCGAGCGGCAGCGCGGGGGCAACCCUGGCGGCGAGCAGCGAACGGGUGAGUAACAUAUCGGAACGUACCCCGUCGUGGGGGAUAACUAUCCGAAAGGAUAGCUAAUACCGCAUACGACCUGAGGGUGAAAGCGGGGGACCGUAAGGCCUCGCGCGAUGGGAGCGGCCGAUAUCGGAUUAGCUAGUUGGUGAGGUAAAGGCUCACCAAGGCGACGAUCCGUAGCUGGUCUGAGAGGACGACCAGCCACACUGGAACUGAGACACGGUCCAGACUCCUACGGGAGGCAGCAGUGGGGAAUUUUGGACAAUGGGGGCAACCCUGAUCCAGCCAUUCCGCGUGAGUGAAGAAGGCCUUCGGGUUGUAAAGCUCUUUCAGCAGGAACGAAACGGUGGUCCCUAAUACGGGCUGCUAAUGACGGUACCUGAAGAAGAAGCACCGGCUAACUACGUGCCAGCAGCCCGCGGUAAUACGUAGGGUGCGAGCGUUAAUCGGAAUUACUGGGCGUAAAGCGUGCGCAGGCGGGUUAUAUAAGACAGAUGUGAAAUCCCCGGGCUUAACCUGGGAACUGCGUUUGUGACUGUAUAACUC